ACAUGCCUACAACAUAGCGUUAAUGCAUCAGAUACCAUUAGAAAUUCGUAGUUAAGUGCGCUCAGGCUAGAGUAGUAUAGGGAUGGGUGACUGCUUGGGAAGUCCUAGUGUUUUACAUGCC
rnacentral:rRNA from 1 species